UACGUAGGGUGCAAGCGUUGUCCGGAAUCACUGGGCGUAAAGCGUGCGUAGGCGGUUCGUUAAGUCUGUUGUGAAAGCCCUGGGCUCAACCUGGGAACUGCAGUGGAUACUGGCGAGCUAGAGUACGGUAGAGGAAGGUGGAAUUCCCGGUGUAGCGGUGAAAUGCGUAGAGAUCGGGAGGAACACCAGUGGCGAAGGCGGCCUUCUGGACCAGUACUGACGCUGAGGCACGAAAGCGUGGGGAGCAAACAGGG
rnacentral:rRNA from 1 species